GUGAGGAAUAUUGGUCAAUGGGCGAGAGCCUGAACCAGCCAAGUCGCGUGAAGGAAGACGGCCCUACGGGUUGUAAACUUCUUUUGCAAUGGAAUAAAAAGAGUUACGUGUAAUUCAUUGUAUGUACAUUGCGAAUAAGGAUCGGCUAACUCCGUGCCAGCAGCCGCGGUAAUACGGAGGAUCCGAGCGUUAUCCGGAUUUAUUGGGUUUAAAGGGUGCGUAGGCGGAUUGGAAAGUCAGCGGUGAAAGUUUGCAGCUUAACUGUAAAAUUGCCAUUGAAACUGUCAGGCUUGAGUGCAAAUGAGGUAGGCGGAAUGUGUUGUGUAGCGGUGAAAUGCAUAGAUAUAACACAGAACACCAAGUGCGAAGGCAGCUUACUGGGAUGCAACUGACGCUGAGGCACGAAAGCGUGGGGAUCAAACAGGAUUAGAAACCCCUGUAGUCC
rnacentral:rRNA from 1 species